CAGCCCUCCAGAUCACUCAGUGAGGCUCAGUGUUGAAGAGGAUGGUGUCCAUGUCAUUAAAGCUUAUGGGCCUGGGAUGGAAAGCCAUUUGGUACAUUUCUGUAAAAAGCAUCUGGACACUGUAUCACAAAAAGUGAGAAGAGUGACUCUUGACGGCCUGACGAGAGAAGACUUCAUACAGUAUGCUACCAGACUAACACUGGACCCAAACACAGCCUACCGUCACUUCAGUUUGAGCAAGGACAACACUGAGUUGGCAUGGAGUAAUAUAUGUUGCCAAUUUGACUACUUUGAUCAUCCACAAAGAUUUGUGGAAUGCCGCCAGGUAUUCUGUGAACAGCGCCUGUACGGACGGUGCUACUGGGAAGUUCAGUGGUCUACACGGUAUGAGACUUCUAUGGCAGUGUCCUACUUAGACAUUGGACGGAAAGAAACAGAUGACAAGAACAGGUUUGGUGGUAAUGAUCAGUCUUGGAGUUUGGAUUGCUACCCCUCAAGAUAUGCAUUCAGACACAAUAACAGUGUGACUGAAAUUGAGAGAGGACGCCAAUCGUUCAAAUUGGCUGUGUAUGUGGAUGUUGGGGCAGGCACUCUGUCUUUCUAUGAGGUUUCCAGCUCUGGCAGUCUCACCACCCUCCACAAGCACAAGACCAAGUUCCUAAAGCCUCUAUACGCAGGUUUUUAUGGGGGUGCAUAUACACAUUUAACUAUUUGCUCCUUGAAGUAACAUGGUGAGAAUUUAAAGCAACUGUUUACACUGUUAUGUACAAUACAUACACUAUGACGGGAAGUACUGUGGGCUAAUACAUUCUUUGUAUUGGGCAUGCAUGUAGAUUUACAAGAAGAAUACAGAAGUUAGUUAUUCCUCUGCCCAUUAUACAUUGAGGUGUCAUGAGGCUUGUGUGUCAUUCUUAAGUAAAUAUUAUGCCAAGUUAUAUUACACCAUACAAUAGAAUAGAAGAAUAGAAUAUAUACUUUUUUGAUCCCGUGAGGGAAAUUCAUUUCUCUGCAUUUAACCAAAUUAGUGAACACACACAGUGAGGUGAAUCACACAUUUACCCAGAGCAGUGAGCUGCCUGCCCAACCAGUGGCGCUCAGGGAGCAGU